rnacentral:rRNA from 1 species
UACAGAGGGGGGCAAGCGUUAUUCGGAAUUAUUGGGCGUAAAGGGCGCGUAGGCGGCUUGGCAAGUGGGAUGGUGAAAAUCCCUCGGCUUAACCGAGGAACUGCCGUCCAAACUGCUUCGCUUGAGACCGGGAGAGGUGAGUGGAAUUCCCAGUGUAGCGGUGAAAUGCGUAGAUAUUGGGAGGAACACCAGUGGCGAAGGCGGCUCACUGGACCGGUACUGACGCUGAUGCGCGAAAGCGUGGGGAGCAAACGGGG